rnacentral:rRNA from 1 species
CCUACGGGAGGCUGCAGUGGGGAAUAUUGGACAAUGGGGGCAACCCUGAUCCAGCCAUGCCGCGUGUGUGAAGAAGGCCCUCGGGUUGUAAAGCACUUUCAGUGAGGAAGAACGCCUGGUGGUUAAUACCCAUCAGGAAAGACAUCACUCACAGAAGAAGCACCGGCUAACUCCGUGCCAGCAGCCGCGGUAAUACGGAGGGUGCGAGCGUUAAUCGGAAUUACUGGGCGUAAAGCGCGCGUAGGUGGCUUGAUAAGCCGGUUGUGAAAGCCCCGGGCUCAACCUGGGAACGGCAUCCGGAACUGUCAAGCUAGAGUGCAGGAGAGGAAGGUAGAAUUCCCGGUGUAGCGGUGAAAUGCGUAGAGAUCGGGAGGAAUACCAGUGGCGAAGGCGGCCUUCUGGACUGACACUGACACUGAGGUGCGAAAGCGUGGGUAGCAAACAGGAUUAGAUACCCCGGUAGUC